rnacentral:rRNA from 1 species
GUGACUGCGUACCUUUUGUAUAAUGGGUCAGCGACUUAUAUUCUGUAGCAAGGUUAACCGAAUAGGGGAGCCGGAGGGAAACCGAGUCUUAACCGGGCGUUAAGUUGCAGGGUAUAGACCCGAAACCCGGUGAUCUAGCCAUGGGCAGGUUGAAGGUUGGGUAACACUAACUGGAGGACCGAACCGACUAAUGUUGAAAAAUUAGCGGAUGACCUGUGGCUGGGGGUGAAAGGCCAAUCAAACCGGGAGAUAGCUGGUUCUCCCCGAAAGCUAUUUAGGUAGCGCCUCGUGAAUUCAUCUCCGGGGGUAGAGCACUGUUUCGGCUAGGGGGCCAUCCCGGCUUACCAACCCGAUGCAAACUGCGAAUACCGGAGAAUGUUAUCACGGGAGACACACGGCGGGUGCUAACGUCCGUCGUGAAGAGGGAAACAACCCAGACCGCCAGCUAAGGUCCCAAAGUCAUGGUUAAGUGGGAAACGAUGUGGGAAGGCCCAGACAGCCAGGAUGUUGGCUUAGAAGCAGCCAUCAUUUAAAGAAAGCGUAAUAGCUCACUGGUCGAGUCGGCCUGCGCGGAAGAUGUAACGGGGCUAAACCAUGCACCGAAGCUGCGGCAGCGACACUGUGUGUUGUUGGGUAGGGGAGCGUUCUGUAAGCCUGUGAAGGUGUGUCGUGAGGCAUGCUGGAGGUAUCAGAAGUGCGAAUGCUGACAUAAGUAACGAUAAAGCGGGUGAAAAGCCCGCUCGCCGGAAGACCAAGGGUUCCUGUCCAACGUUAAUCGGGGCAGGGUGAGUCGACCCCUAAGGCGAGGCCGAAAGGCGUAGUCGAUGGGAAACGGGUUAAUAUUCCCGUACUUGGUGUUACUGCGAAGGGGGGACGGAGAAGGCUAUGUUGGCCGGGCGACGGUUGUCCCGGUUUAAGCGUGUAGGUGUGUGUUCCAGGUAAAUCCGGUUCACUUUAACACUGAGGCGUGACGACGAGGCACUACGGUGCUGAAGCAACAAAUGCCCUGCUUCCAGGAAAAGCCUCUAAGCAUCAGGUAACAUCAAAUCGUACCCCAAACCGACACAGGUGGUCAGGUAGAGAAUACCAAGGCGCUUGAGAGAACUCGGGUGAAGGAACUAGGCAAAAUGGUGCCGUAACUUCGGGAGAAGGCACGCUGACACGUAGGUGAAGUGAUUUACUCAUGGAGCUGAAGUCAGUCGAAGAUACCAGCUGGCUGCAACUGUUUAUUAAAAACACAGCACUGUGCAAACACGAAAGUGGACGUAUACGGUGUGACGCCUGCCCGGUGCCGGAAGGUUAAUUGAUGGGGUCAGCGCAAGCGAAGCUCCUGAUCGAAGCCCCGGUAAACGGCGGCCGUAACUAUAACGGUCCUAAGGUAGCGAAAUUCCUUGUCGGGUAAGUUCCGACCUGCACGAAUGGCGUAAUGAUGGCCAGGCUGUCUCCACCCGAGACUCAGUGAAAUUGAACUCGCUGUGAAGAUGCAGUGUACCCGCGGCAAGACGGAAAGACCCCGUGAACCUUUACUAUAGCUUGACACUGAACAUUGAGCCUUGAUGUGUAGGAUAGGUGGGAGGCUUUGAAGUGUGGACGCCAGUCUGCAUGGAGCCGACCUUGAAAUACCACCCUUUAAUGUUUGAUGUUCUAACGUGGACCCGUUACCCGGGUUGCGGACAGUGUCUGGUGGGUAGUUUGACUGGGGCGGUCUCCUCCUAAAGAGUAACGGAGGAGCACGAAGGUUGGCUAAUCCUGGUCGGACAUCAGGAGGUUAGUGCAAUGGCAUAAGCCAGCUUGACUGCGAGCGUGACGGCGCGAGCAGGUGCGAAAGCAGGUCAUAGUGAUCCGGUGGUUCUGAAUGGAAGGGCCAUCGCUCAACGGAUAAAAGGUACUCCGGGGAUAACAGGCUGAUACCGCCCAAGAGUUCAUAUCGACGGCGGUGUUUGGCACCUCGAUGUCGGCUCAUCACAUCCUGGGGCUGAAGUAGGUCCCAAGGGUAUGGCUGUUCGCCAUUUAAAGUGGUACGCGAGCUGGGUUUAGAACGUCGUGAGACAGUUCGGUCCCUAUCUGCCGUGGGCGCUGGAGAACUGAGGGGGGCUGCUCCUAGUACGAGAGGACCGGAGUGGACGCAUCACUGGUGUUCGGGUUGUCAUGCCAAUGGCACUGCCCGGUAGCUAAAUGCGGAAGAGAUAAGUGCUGAAAGCAUCUAAGCACGAAACUUGCCCCGAGAUGAGUUCUCCCUGAGACUUAAGUCUCCUGAAGGAACGUUGAAGACGACGACGUUGAUAGGCCGGGUGUGUAAGCGCAGCGAUGCGUUGAGCUAACCGGUACUAAUGAACCGUGAGGCUUAACCUU